rnacentral:rRNA from 1 species
GAUGAACGCUGGCGGCGUGCUUAACACAUGCAAGUCGAACGGAAAGGCCCAAGCUUGCUUGGGUACUCGAGUGGCGAACGGGUGAGUAACACGUGGGUGAUCUGCCCUACACUUCGGGAUAAGCCUGGGAAACUGGGUCUAAUACCGGAUAGGACCACAUUUUGGAUGGUGUGGUGGAAAGUUUUUCGGUGUGGGAUGAGCUCGCGGCCUAUCAGCUUGUUGGUGGGGUAAUGGCCUACCAAGGCGUCGACGGGUAGCCGGCCUGAGAGGGUGUACGGCCACAUUGGGACUGAGAUACGGCCCAGACUCCUACGGGAGGCAGCAGUGGGGAAUAUUGCACAAUGGGCGCAAGCCUGAUGCAGCGACGCCGCGUGGGGGAUGACGGCCUUCGGGUUGUAAACUCCUUUCGCUAGGGACGAAGCGUUAUGUGACGGUACCUGGAGAAGAAGCACCGGCUAACUACGUG